rnacentral:lncRNA from 1 species
GAUGGUACUGAAAUUUUUGAAUUUUGAGUUUGGCCAUACGCUCAGAAGCCAAUGCUGCUAAGUCCAGAACACAACAAUUGAGAAAAUUAAUGUUUUUUAAUACAUUAAUAUUAUACAAAAUAUUCAGAAGCUAUAAAAAAGGGCUGUCUGACCUAGAAAAAAUGAAGCAACCAGUAAAUCCUUUAAUAACUAAGAAGAAUAUUAUUUAUUCCAUUAAAAUUUAUAAAAAUCAGAAAAUAUCAAAAAGUGGACUUAAUCACAUUGGCUUUGAGCGACUCAGAUAUAAUCCCCAAAAAUUGGGACAUGCUCAUGGUAGUUAAAAAGUUCUCGAAAUCUAUUAGAAUUAAAUUUCACCAUGGAGUAGAGCAGUAUUUCGCACAUGGCGCUUAUGGCGCCAGCCUGGGGCUCUACAGAUAUAGGUGAUCCCAAAAUUCAAAUUUAACAAGUUAAGAACUUCGAAUUCUAUUUAAAAAAAUUACAGUAGAGUAUCAAGAUACUUGAAUAGAUCAUAUAAAUGAAAAUCGUAACUUUUGCUUUCGUUGAGCUAAAAAUAACAUUAUGAGUAAUCAAAUAUUGUGCUAUAGUUUUUCUUAUCACUUUUAAACAAGGAUAGCAGAAUUUUUUUAAAUAAAACAUUUAUAUAUCGGUCCAUUAACCUUUCUUAGCAAUACUUUACCCGGAUCCUAAUAACUGCAUAUACUGUACUGUAUAAAUGCAUGUUUUGGCAUUUUUACUCUUGAUGAGAGCUAACUUAAUAGCUCAGUCCCGAGAAGAAUUAAAUACGGCGCUUAUGAAUUAUACAGGGUGAAUCAAGCCUUUUUGCAUCCCCAGUAAAUCAUUAACUAUUCAUAUUAACAAUUCAUAAUUCAUAUUAACAUAUUUGGCAUAAUUCUAACAAAUAAAUCAAGGUGACCUUUCAGAUGGUCUAGUCAGAUCUUGAACAUGCAAAUUACGGCAAAUGAAAGUUUCAAUUCCGAAACCAUAACGGAUAGAAUAUUUCUUAAUGUUUUUCAACGUGUUCUGAGUAUUUAAAUGAAACAGCGAAAUCGGAUGAAGAGUUCGCUCAAACGGUCAAAAAACAUUGCUUAUGCAAUUUCUCAUCCUCAACGUGAGCUGUCUUUGACAAUGAUUGUGUUACUGAUGUAAACAUUAGCUUGGAAAGAUGUCAUCAGUACAGAAUGUGUUCGAUAUGAUGUCCAUCUGCUUCAAUAUAUAACUGAGUGUGGUUUUUGACAAUCUAAUACAAUACAUUGAGCACUAUGAUAGGUAUUAUUUCUGCAUAAAUUGAAAUUUAUGCAGAUCAUGCACUAAGACUGACGUUGUGGCAUACAACUCGUCUUUGUAGUACCACAGGAAGAAAUCCAAUGCUGUCGUAUCUGUGACUGUGGUGGGAAAUGAGCAAUUUUUUGAACUUUGAACGAACCAUCUGAAAGGCGGCCAUCUAUGAUUUUAUAUUUGUUCGCAAUAAUAGAUUUGGCAUAACUAACGGUUAGUGAUUUAUUGGGAAUGCAAGAGACUUGAUUCACCCUGUAUAAUCAGUAGAGCAAAA